UUUUCAUUAAACAAAUACAAAAAUAAAACCUUUCAUACGUAAAAUAUUGUGCCAAAUGUGAGCAGUAUCGAUCUGUCAAUGAGUACCUGUUUAGUAACAGUAAUAGCUAUAGUUUUUAUGUUUUGAAUAACUUUUGUCAUAAAACAAAAGGUAAUUAGAGCAUAUGGACGUGAUUUACAUUUCAAAUGCACAAAACAUUCAUCCUAUUGGUAUUUAACAAUCUGUUGUACAUUAUACAGCAGUCCUUAUUGUGCUAUAUGUCCAUAGAAAGAGAUCAGUGGUAAGGUAAAAAAAAUCUUAAGUCAAAUUUCUUUGUACCUUCCCCAAUAUACACUUUUUCUAUCACAUAUGUCACAGAGCUGGAGAAUGUAGAUAUGAUGGCAGAGGACACUGAUGUAAAGGUGAAAGUAAUGAAAAGACAGAGCAUAGACACUAAUGCUAACUUCAGUUCCGAGGACUCAAGAUUUAAAUGUUGGUGUCAUGAUAUUUUCAAUCCAAACCAAAGACCAGAGAAAUGCAGUCCAGGACUGGAUGAGACAAAGUUAUCUGAAAGAAACUCUAUCCUCUCCAUUAAGUCAGUGGACUCAGGAUAUGCUUCAAGAAAAUGCACAGGCAUUUUCCUAAACUCUGAAUUUGAAUAAUAGAAUAAAAAAUUUAUUCCACUACUACAGUGUAACUGUCCGCUCCAGGCGUCACUCCAAAAUAUCUGAACUAUGACCGCCAUGAAUGGGUUUGUGAUUCAGUCAGGAUCAUUUGAAAAGAUCAUACACACUGAAAUGAUAUUCAACUAUGAAUAUCCACGAUAUGACUAUGAAUGUCCUUGAAUUUAUCUUUACCAUCGAUCUGCUAAGCAUUAUAAUGUUUGAAAUGAUAUUAAAGU